GCCACGGGUUUUGCACCUCCAGCCCCGGCUUGCAACCUGGCGCACACGCUGGGGCGCAGGGCGCGGGCGCACGGGGGCGCGGGGUUUGCUGCUGCCUGGCCUGUCCCGGGCUCUGCACAUCUUGGCUGGCGGUGGCGGCUCCGGGGCAGAGAGCGCGGGAGGGGCCGAGGACUCCGGCGGGUCGUUGCGCUGCCUCCUCGGACACGCGCCCCUAACUCGGGGGCGGGGCUCACAGGGCACCCAUCACCCUGAUAGAAAGGGCCAAUGCCUGGAAGCCUCGGCGCCCGGGGAGUGGGCCCUCCUCCUCCCGCGGCCUCCCCACCGGCCCCAAACCUGACAAGCCCUUUUCUCCUCCCGGGAAGAUGUUCCUGGAGCUCCAUCUGGCGGCAAGAAACAAUUCAAGGAUGAGACAAGCUGUAUAAGAUUGUUUCUGGUCUUGGAGACAGCUCAGGAGGACAGAAAAGAAGGAAAAGGGCCAGGGUCUGUGGUGCAGACCUGUCUCCCUUUUUGUGACCAGCACAACUCGGGACUAAGUGACUCUGUCUUUGCUCCUGGUGAUGGGUGGCCAGGGGGUACCUGGGGCCCCGGAUGGACAUGCACCCAGCUUCCCUGCGGUCGGAGAGGCUAUUCCCACAGGCCCACUGGGAUGGAGACCACCCACGGAGGGCCCCAGGAAGCUGUGCCGCCACGGCCCUCCCAGCCUGCACCCUGAGGCCCCGGCUCUCUCCCUGGAUCCCUGUGGCAUUUGGUGAGUGGCCACCACAUGCCAGGCCCUGGUUUGGGUCCCAGUCCAUGGCCUGGAGGCCAGGCUGCCUCCUGCUCCCCCACCCCACAGCAGUGCUUACCUCAGCAUUUCAAGAACAUGUGUGCAUAGAUGAUGUUUGUAUAUUUGAGGCAUUUAAAAAUCCAUAAUU